UACGAAGGGGGCUAGCGUUGCUCGGAAUCACUGGGCGUAAAGGGUGCGUAGGCGGGUCUUUAAGUCAGGGGUGAAAUCCUGGAGCUCAACUCCAGAACUGCCUUUGAUACUGAAGAUCUUGAGUCCGGGAGAGGUGAGUGGAACUGCGAGUGUAGAGGUGAAAUUCGUAGAUAUUCGCAAGAACACCAGUGGCGAAGGCGGCUCACUGGCCCGAUACUGACGCUGAGGCACGAAAGCGUGGGGGGCAAACAGG
rnacentral:rRNA from 1 species